GAGUGUCUGAGGACAAGGCGCUGGCUUUGCUAAUCACAUCACAAGACCUUGAGCCAGGGCCAAAGGCGCGGAGUGGCGCGGGACGUCCCGGGCGGGGGAGCUGACUCUGAGGACAGGAGGAAAGGCCGGGAGAGCCGUGCGGGCUUGAAGGCGACUUAGCGCCACCUUUCCGUCUGCUGGUCGGGCCGGCCUUCCCCAGCCCUCUGGGGCUGGGGGUGCAGCUGCCUGCCGAGGCUCCCCGCCCGGCACAGCCUGGGCCUGUUGCGUCCUCCCAGCCUCUUCCCUCCCCGGCAGUGGGGGCGCCGCGCCCAGCCUUUGCUCGAUGAGGGCUGCAGGAUCCGGCUGAGACCAACCCGCGGCGCAGGUGGGGCUGCACAGACGCUGAUGGUGGGCGCGCCACCCUCUGUUUUCCCUCACUCGCCAGCCCCGCACCCCAACAGCUUGCGCUGGAAAAUGCGCUUUGCCAGCGGGCGCCCCGCCUUCGUCCGGGUACGGAGGGGACACUCCCAUCUAGCGCCCAGUGAGGCUAAAGCCGCUGACAGCCCCACUAGGAACGAUCUGGAGUCUGGUCUAGGGCACUUCUCCCUCCGCGUUCAUACAGGUUGCCACAAAAAGCUUGGGCCUGAAGCUCGAAGGCCCCGGACCCGCUGGGGAAAGAACUAGGCCUGCCACUCAGGGAUUCGAGUCCCUGGAGUGUAUCCUGCAUUUCCCACUACUGUACUCCCCUCAUGGCCCAGGGAGCCAGAGUCCAGGAUUUAGUGGAGGAAAAAUCCACACAUACCCCCAUCCCAAUCCCCCAG
rnacentral:lncRNA from 1 species